CUUUGCGGGGGCGGAGUCCGGGCGGAGCUAGCCGCCCAGCCGGCCUCUCCCGCCCCCUGGUGGCCCGACCGCGUCAAGCCGGCACAUCCGUCCCUGGAGUUCCAGGACUCAAAAGCAUCUGAGAAGUUGCCCUGCGCUGGGACCCCGCUUGAUCCAGGGAACGAGGAGCCUCGGCCUGUGGACCAGCCAAUCCCACCCCAGAAUAAGCACUGGAAUCACUGCAUUUCUGCUUCUCUUCUCCCAGAGUGGUUUCGUCCAUCUGUCCGUCCCUCUCGAAAUGGUAGCCUGGGCUUCUUUCUUGGGCUGAAACUGUGAUUCUGGCGCCACUGCACCUCUCUGCCACACAAGAGCAUCCUGCAACCUCAUUUCUUUCCAACAGGCUCCAGCUCUUAGCAGCUCGUGUGGAGGACAAGGUCCCAGCACAGGAAGCCUAGGCAGUCAGCUCACAUCCGAGCUCCUGCACGUUUUCUUUAAAAUGAGUAUUCUGCUCAUGGUACCACAUGUCAGCACACAGAACACAAGGUGGGGAGUCUUCACGGGGUUUUCAUGCCUCCAUUCCCCUCCCAUACUCCCAUUUCUGUUUAGAUUGCCUCCCUCACUCACUUGCUGACUUGUAGCCAGUCAGCACAUCACUUCAUCUGCCAGUCAUUCCUGGGUAAAGACUGAUCCCAUGUGAGCUGGGAAACAGGACACCUGGACGCACUGUAUCAAUCCCAGCACUCGGGCAGCAGAGGUACGCAGAUCUCUGUGGUCAACCUGGCCUGCUGAGUGAGUUCCAGGACAGCCAAGACUACACAGAGAAAGUGUCUCAAAUAAGUAAGUAAGUAAAUAAAUAAAGCAAAGCAAGACAAAUGAACAAAAAGAAAGGAAGGAAGGAAGGAAGGAAGGAAAAAAAGAAAGAAAGCAAAGACGUUACCAGCAGAGGCUGGCAAGAGGGCCCAGUGGGGAAAGGGGCUCACUUUGCAAGCCUGACCACCUGAGCCCCAUCUCUGGAACCUGUGAUGGAAGAAGAGAGAGGAUUCUUGAAAGUUGUCCUUUGACUUCCAUAAGAGCAUGGGCACAUACAAGCCUGCACUCACAUACGUCAACACAUCAUAUACACACUUAAUCAUACACACACACACACGCACGCACGCACGCACACACGCACGCACGUACUCACAUGCACACAUCACACACACAUGCACUCACAUCAACUCAUCAUACACACACUUAAUCAUAAACACACACACCCUCACAUACACACACAUCACGCAUACACAUGCACACACACAUAAUUUAAAAAGAAAGAAAUUGCCAGCAGGCAGGUACCAUCUGUGAUUGGUAAAUGCAGUGGGCCAGGGGGCUAGAGAGACAGCUCUGCAGUUAAGAGCACAUGUUGCUCUUCCUGAGGACCUUGGUUCAGUUCCCUGCACCUACAUAGUGGCUCACAACCAUCUACAACUCCAGUCCUUGGGGACCUGCUGCCUUCUUCUGACUGCCUUGGUUACCAGACAUAGAUGUACCACACAGACAUACAUGCAAGGAAAACACCUCUACACAUAAAGUUAAAAACUUUUAAAACGAAAAGUACGGGCAGUGGGCCAACGAACGAUGAAAACGGUGCUCUACCGGGCCCCUUUUACAAAACCUAGCCUCCAGUGAGGGCAGUAAGAAGACGAAGCCUUUGUAGUUAUGAUUCAGCCAUCUUGUUCCUCCCUCAAGAUGAAUCAAUGCUCUUGUGGAGGGACCCACAGAAACGUCACCUUGCCCCUGUGGGGACCCACAGCAGACCCCAUCUGUGAGGAACGGGCCACACCAGGUGCUGGCUCUGCCAGCUCGUUCUUAGGCUUUCCGGGCUCCAGAGAAACGUUUGCCACUCCGAGUGUGGUGUUUUGGAUAUUGCGGCCUGAAGAGACUAAGGGAAAAGGGGCUGCUCGCUCUUAGUUUCCCAUCAGAUAGAUGUGCAGAAAACAGAAACUCUGAAGUGGAGAAACCAGGCAGACACACCCUACGCCAGCUGAGCAAAACUGACAUCAUAAGGAGUCCCGUGACUCGAGGGCCUGAGGAAGGUGUGUCAUUUCUGAGAUAUGCUCGCCUGAAAUGUUUUGCCUCAGUCUGAUCACAGGGGGAAAAAUGAGACUAACCCAAACUGAGAGCCAUUCUACAAAAUACCAGUGUCAAAGCUGAGGCACACAAAGGUUGGGGAGCCAUUACACACAAUACUUGUGUGUGAUGAGAGAUUCUGGAUUGGCUCCCAGACCGAAAGAAGGACAUUUAAUAGAACAAUUGGCAAAAUUUGAAUAAAACCUAUCCACCUGGGCAUGGUGGCACAUGCCAGUCAUCCAACGCUGGGAGGCCAAGGUAGGAACGCAAUGAGUUUAAGGCCACUCUGAACGACUCAGCAAGAUCCAGGCUCAAAAAAUACUUGUGUCGAUACUAAUCAUAGGUGUCUAUACUAAUCAUAGCUUUUUAAGGUUUAUUUUUACCUUAUGUGUCUGUCUGUCUGUGCACCGUUUGCAUGCAGUGCCCGCAGAGGCCAGAAGAGGGUGUCAGAGCCUCCUGGGACUGGAGUUACAGAGGUCUUCCGGAAGAGCAGCCAGCGCUUUCAGCCACUGAGCUGCCUCUCCAGCUCCCCAGGCCUAAUUCCAAUGAUCAGAUGCUGUGUUCAAUACCGAUAUUCGAGAGAGCUAGGAAAAGCUUUAUAGAUGCUAUGUGUUUACAGCUUUUUUUUUUUUUACCAGUCCAGAUUAUUCCAAACGUAAGCCAACCUUUAAAAACAAAGAUGAAAAAUGGCAAAUCUUAAAAACUACUGAAAGGCUUCUCACUUCAUUUUAACCUGACACUAAAACCUACACGGUGAGCCACAGGUGAAUACGAUAAAGGUACAGACUCGAAAACAACAAAGCAGGUGCAGGUUGUAGCCAGCUCUAAGUUAGCAGUGCGGUGGUCUGACUCAGCUGGCAGCGCAAGUGCGAAGGCCCGGGUUUGAUCCUUCACAUAAACCAUGCAGCGUCGCACACCUGAGAUCCUGGCACUGGAGAGGCAGACACGGGAUGGUCAGAAGUUCAAAGUCCUCCCCCAUUCACAGCAAGUUUGAGCCCAACCUGGGCUAGGUAACACCUUGUCUCAAUUAAAAAAAAAAAAGUAAUGUGCUAUGACAAAGUAGUGUUUUGGGGGGCUGGAGAGAUGGCUCGCAGGUAAGAGCACUGUCUGCUCUUGCAGAGGACCCAAGUUCAACUCUCCAGGCCCCACAUGGUGGGGGCCUCACAACCAUCUGUAACUCCAUUUCCAGGGACUCCAACACCGGCUUCUGACCUCCAUGGACGUCAGGCCACACACACCAGGAGUGUCUACAUACAUGCAGGCAAACACUCACAACACAUAAAAUAAGUAAAUCUAAAGAAAUAAGGUUUAAGGAACAUUGACGUCGUGGCUGAGCCUAAGAGCAUUAGAACAUGGCUGCUGUCUCGGGAGUACAACCCCGGUGCCCAGGAUGCAGAGGCGGGCACCUGUUGGCAGCUCUGUAAACUCUAGGCCAGCUGGGGCUGGGUAGUGAGACCCUGAGUCAAAACAACAGGCAAAACAAAUCAAGCAGACUGGCACACAUGAGCCACCCUGUGUACCGUUACCUGGCUGAGCCGAGGACUCGAGGAGUUUCUGUGGCCCUGGGCAUGAGCUCGGGAGACUCUCCAGGUCUGGCCAUUGUGUCGCCGUCAUAAAAUCCAGAUUGCACACUGAGGGACUGAUGGGUGUGGGGCCAAGCUGCACCACUGUCCCUCCCAAAGCAACCGAUCGCAACCGUGUUGCUCUCUACAAGGGUGUGACCUUGUGCCUUGUCAGCGUCACAGGUUCAUAUGUGACCCUUAUGGGAAAGGAAUUCCAGGGGGAGAAGAAAAAAGAGGUGCUUCUGUUAGGGUCUCUGAGAGCUCGGGUACCACAGAACAAAGGUCCAAGAUGGCUGGGGAGGAACCGGCCCCGGUGCUGGCCUCUUAGAGAUGAGGGGAAAGUGUGGCUUUGAACUUCCAACGCUUUUGUACCCUGGUCUACGCAGGGAGACUGACCGCGGCACAGUCACUGCUGGGAAACUUCUCAGAAAUAAGCAGGAAGACCGGAGCACAGAUCAGAAACAUAAAUAUCUCUUCAAGGCAGGCAGGGCAGACUCAGGGGCAGGCUCAGGAGAUGGGUUUUCCUUAACACGUCCUGACAUUUCCUAACAGCCUGGUUUACGCUUUAAAGCCUCCCCAGCCCAACCCUGUGCGAGUGUCAGUGUGGUGUGUGUGUGCAAGUGUGUGUUCCCAGUCAGUGCAGCUUUAUAUCUUCUUCUUGCAAUGCUCUAUUUUCCGGUGGCGUUUUACAUCUAAUUCUCCCAACAGAUGCCAACUGUGUACCAACCCUCUGGGAAUAUUCUUCACACACCCUGAGAAGCCUGCUGCCCCUGGCUCCCUCGAAGCAUAUAGCCCCCCUUGGCCUCUUUGAUUUCCUCUACAUUUUCUAGAGACAUCAUUACAAGAAAUAUUUCCCUUCCACCUAAUUCCAUUGUAAGAAAAGCAAUUGCACAAAUACAAAAAACUGGUAACUGACCCUUGACCCUGAUGUCUGGGAGACAAUUGGAUAGGGAGACAAUAGGGGACAGAUAGAAUGCUAAUGAGGUAAGGGAAGAGGCCUCUGAAGAGCACCCCUGGGGCCCAGCCUCAGCCUGCUGUGGCCUUGUGGAGAUGCAGGAACUAGAAUGGCCAGAUCGCAAGAGAUUUAAAGACAAAAAGGAAAUUGGAAUUCUUAUCUGAAAUUCCCUAAUCUUUAAAUGCUGGCGACUAAUUCAAAACAGUAUUUUAAAACCCCUUCCUUACAAGCCAACUAGAUUGGACCCGUUGGCGUUCAGCCGGUAACAUCUGCUCUGUAUUAUACAGGUGGGCUCAUGUGCCUCUGAAACCUGAGCUAUUUCUGUUAAUGUGAGCUCAUUUGUUCCCACUGGAGGGGAGACAAUUAGUUUAUAACAGGGGGGGAUCGAUGUAAAAGUUUAUUAAUGUUGUUCAUCACAUGAAUUGGACUCCAGAGACCCAGCAAUACAAUUACCCCGAGAGGAUGUGGCCUGAUGAGAGCUCAGUGACUAGAAAUACAAGCUGACUUUGGUGACAUGAUAAAUGGUGUGUGCCUCACUCAAACUGUAGUGGGAUGCCUAAUGAGGAAGGACGAAGAGGAGACACGGUCCUUAAUAAUAAAAGCGUCCCGAUGAAAACAAGAAUCUCUGUCAUUAUGAAUAAGAGAAAGUAAGGGGAGAAGAAAACAGAGGCAUGCAUUUGGGAAGGAAAAGUCAAGCUCAUCAUUAUGAACAUAUUAGGUAUGUGUGGACAUAUGUAUGUGUGUAUGUUUGCAUGUAUAUAUGUAUGUAUGUAUGUAUGUAUAUGAUUAUCUACCUAAGAAACCACAACUAAUGGGUGGAAAAUGUUUAGCACUAAUAAGGGAACUAACUCAGAAAUGGAAAUGUAUACAAAACAUAGGACAUUCAGGAGAAAGCGUAACAGGAAAAGAAAUGCAGCUUCUUUUAUCCACCCUGGCACCAAAUAGGGAGGGAAGCAGGCCAGGGGCUCAGAGCAGGCAAAACAACCCAGGGGAAAGGUGGGAAGACUUACCUCUCCCGGUCCCAAGACUCUGAGGAACACGACAGCAGGGCACUGAGAAUAUGAAGUGACAGAGGAGAGGAAUAAGAUGGAGGGUCAACAUUCAGGCCCUCAGUUGACAGUUACAUCUGGACACCGGCGCCAAGACCAUUUGAAAGGGAAAUGAGCCGUCUUUUCCAUAAAGAGAGCUGACACCACUGCAUAUCCAUAUGCAAAGCUGUGAAGCUGAGGUCCCUGGUGCACGCCACACACAAAACCUAAUUCAGAACAGUCAAAAGACCUAGAUGGCAGAGCUAAGGCCACAAAACUCACAGGAGAAAGCAUGGGUAUCACUGGGCAGAGGUGGCGCAUGCCAUUGAUCCCAGUGUUCAGAGGUGGCACACGCCGUUGAUCCCAGUGCGUGGGAGGCAGAGGCAGGUGGAUCUCUGCCUGGUCUACAGAGUGAAUCCUAGGACAGCCAGAGCUACACAGAGAAAACAAACAAGCAAACAUGCUAUGGUCAAAUGAAUAUUUCUCCAAGAUGUACAAAUGGUCAAGCAUGUCAAAAAGUGUUCAAUGUCAUCAGAGAACUGCAAAUCAAAACUGCAGUGAGCUAUCACACACUAUUAUCAAAAAGACAAAUCCUAGCAGGGGCUGACAAGGACAGGAGACCUCAGAGCCCUCAGACCUCUGCUGCUGCUGGGAGCGCGACGUGGCACAGCCAUCUUGGAAAGUAGCCUGGUAAUCCCUCAACAUACUAGAAACGGAGCUACCACAGGACCUAACAAUUCUACUCCUAGAUAUAAACGCAAGGAAGCAAGAACACAAGUCCACACGAAAACCUGGCAUAUGAAGAAAAGACAAAAGAAAUACGUGUGCCCACCAGCUGAUAAGUGGACAGAUGUAGUGUGUUUACACAGCGGAUGUUGCUUGGCCUAAGGAGAAGUGAGGUUGUCAUUUUCGAUUCGCUGCGGAAGAACCUUGAACGUACCAUGAACACAGCCACUGAAAAGGGGCCACACACUGAUCCCAUUGCUGUGAGCUGUCCUGUGAAGACAGAUCUGGAGACACAGGAAGUAAACUGAUGAUCGCCUAGGGCCAGAAUGGUUGGUGAACAGGAAGUAAAAACUAGUGGGUAUUGGAUUUCCUUUGGGGGUGUUGGAAAUGUUCCAGACUUGGCUGUGGGCAUGAUUAAAUGAUUUUGAGUAUAUUAAAAUACACUGAAGUG